rnacentral:rRNA from 1 species
CGAGUGAAGCGGCAACAGCUCAAAUUUGAAAUCUGGCUCUUUCAGGGCCCGAGUUGUAAUUUGUAGAGGAUGCUUCGGCUGCGGCCCUGGUCUAAGUUCCUUGGAACAGGACGUCACAGAGGGUGAGAACCCCGUACGUGGCCGGGUGCCUACGCCAUGUGAAGCUCCUUCGACGAGUCGAGUUGUUUGGGAAUGCAGCUCUAAAUGGGAGGUAGAUUUCUUCUAAAGCUAAAUACCGGCGAGAGACCGAUAGCGCACAAGUAGAGUGAUCGAAAGAUGAAAAGCACUUUGGAAAGAGAGUUAAAAAGUACGUGAAAUUGUUGAAAGGGAAGCGCUUGCAACCAGACUUGGGCGUAGUUGCUUAGCUGGGCUUCUGCCCGGUGCACUCUUCUGCGUCCAGGCCAGCAUCAGUUCGGGCGGCCGGAUAAAGGCCUUGGGAAUGUAGCUCCUCUCGGGGAGUGUUAUAGCCCUCGGCGUAAUGCGGCCUGCCCGGACUGAGGUCCGCGCUUCGGCUAGGAUGCUGGCGUAAUGGUUGUAAGCGGCCCGUCUUGAAACACGGACCAAGGAGUAUAACAUCUAUGCGAGUGUUUGGGUGGAAAACCCAUGCGCGUAAUGAAAGUGAACGGAGGUGGGAGCCCUCGGGCGCACCAUCGACCGAUCCUGAUGUCUUCGGAUGGAUUUGAGUAAGAGCAUAGCCGUUAUGACCCGAAAGAUGGUGAACUAUUCCUGAAUAGGGUGAAGCCAGAGGAAACUCUGGUGGAAGCUCGCAGCGGUUCUGACGUGCAAAUCGAUCGUC